AGAGUUUGAUCCUGGCUCAGGACGAACGCUGGCGGCGCGCCUAACACAUGCAAGUCGAACGAGCGAGAGAGAGCUUGCUUUCUCGAGCGAGUGGCGAACGGGUGAGUAACGCGUGAGGAACCUGCCUCAAAGAGGGGGACAACAGUUGGAAACGACUGCUAAUACCGCAUAAGCCCACGGUGCCGCAUGGCACAGAGGGAAAAGGAGCAAUCCGCUUUGAGAUGGCCUCGCGUCCGAUUAGCUAGUUGGUGAGGUAACGGCCCACCAAGGCGACGAUCGGUAGCCGGACUGAGAGGUUGAACGGCCACAUUGGGACUGAGACACGGCCCAGACUCCUACGGGAGGCAGCAGUGGGGAAUAUUGCACAAUGGGGGAAACCCUGAUGCAGCGACGCCGCGUGGAGGAAGAAGGUCUUCGGAUUGUAAACUCCUGUUGUUGGGGAAGAUAAUGACGGUACCCAACAAGGAAGUGACGGCUAACUACGUGCCAGCAGCCGCGGUAAAACGUAGGUCACAAGCGUUGUCCGGAAUUACUGGGUGUAAAGGGAGCGCAGGCGGGAAGACAAGUUGGAAGUGAAAUCUAUGGGCUCAACCCAUAAACUGCUUUCAAAACUGUUUUUCUUGAGUAGUGCAGAGGUAGGCGGAAUUCCCGGUGUAGCGGUGGAAUGCGUAGAUAUCGGGAGGAACACCAGUGGCGAAGGCGGCCUACUGGGCACCAACUGACGCUGAGGCUCGAAAGUGUGGGUAGCAAACAGGAUUAGAUACCCUGGUAGUCCACACCGUAAACGAUGAUUACUAGGUGUUGGAGGAUUGACCCCUUCAGUGCCGCAGUUAACACAAUAAGUAAUCCACCUGGGGAGUACGACCGCAAGGUUGAAACUCAAAGGAAUUGACGGGGGCCCGCACAAGCAGUGGAGUAUGUGGUUUAAUUCGACGCAACGCGAAGAACCUUACCAAGUCUUGACAUCCCUUGACAGGCAUAGAAAUAUGUUUUCUCUUCGGAGCAAGGAGACAGGUGGUGCAUGGUUGUCGUCAGCUCGUGUCGUGAGAUGUUGGGUUAAGUCC
rnacentral:rRNA from 1 species